rnacentral:rRNA from 1 species
CACGUAGGCACCAAGCGUUGUCCGGAUUUAUUGGGCGUAAAGAGCUCGUAGGCGGUUCAGUAAGUCGGGUGUGAAAACUCAGGGCUCAACUCUGAGAUGCCACUCGAUACUGCCGUGACUUGAGUACGGUAGGGGAGCGGGGAAUUCCUGGUGUAGCGGUGAAAUGCGCAGAUAUCAGGAGGAACACCAGUGGCGAAGGCGCCGCUCUGGGCCGUGACUGACGCUGAGGAGCGAAAGCGUGGGUAGCAAACAGG